rnacentral:lncRNA from 1 species
AUGCUCGAAAUUCUCCAAGCCAGGCUUCAGCAAUACGUGAACCAUGAACUUCCAGAUGUUCAAGCUGGUCUUAGAAAAGGCAGAGGAACCAAAGAUCAAAUUGCCAACAUCUGCUGGAUCAUUGAAAAUGCAAGAGAAUUCCAGAAAAACAUCUAUUUCUGCUUUAUUGACUAUGCCAAAGCCUUUGACUGUGUGGAUCACAAUAAACUGUGGAAAAUUCUGAAAGAGAUGGGAAUACCAGACCACCUGACCUGCCUCUUGAGAAAUCUGUAUGCAGGUCAGGAAGCAGCAGUUAGAACUGGACAUGGGACAACAGAUUGGUUCCAAAUAGGAAAAGGAGUACGUCAAGGCUCUAUAUUGUCACCCUGCUUAUUUAACUUAUAUGCAGAGUACAUCAUGAGGAACGCUGGGCUGGAAGAAACACAAGCUGGAAUCAAGAUUGCCAGGAGAAAUAUCAAUAACCUCAGAUAUGCAGAUGACGCCACCCUUAUGGCAGAAAGUGAAGAAUUAAAAAGCCUCUUGAUGAAAGUGAAAGUGGAGAGUGAAAAAGUUGGCUUAAAGCUCAACAUUCAGAAAUCGAAGAUCAUGGCAUCCAGCCCCAUCACUUCAUGGGAAAUAGAUGGGGAAACAGUGGAAACAGUGUCAGACUUUAUUUUGGGGGGCUCCAAAAUCACUGCAGAUGGUGACUGCAGCCAUGAAAUUAAAAGACGCUUACUCCUUGGAAGACAAGUUAUAACCAACCUAGAUAGCAUAUUCAAAAGCAGAGACAUUACUUUGCCGACUAAGGUCCAUCUAGUCAAGGCUAUGGUUUUUCCUGUGGUCAUAUAUGGAUGUGAGAGUUGGACUGUGAAGAAGGCUGAGCACCAAAGAACUGCUGCUUUUGAACUGUGGUGUUGGAGAAGACUCUUGAGAGUCCCUUGGACUGCAAGGAGAUCCAACCAGUCCAUUCUAAAGGAGAUCAGUCAUGGGUGUUCAUUGGAAGGACUGAUGCUGAGGCUGAAACUCCAAUACUUUGGCCGCCUGAUGCAAAGAGUUGACUCAUUGGAAAAGACUCUGAUGCUGGGAGGGAUUGGGGGCAGGAGGAGAAGGGGACGACAGAGGAUGAGAUGGCUGGAUGGCAUCACUGACUCGAUGGACGUGAGUCUGAGUGAACUCCGGGAGUUGGUGAUGGACAGGGAGGCCUGGCGUGCUGUGAUUCAUGGGGUCACAAAACGUCGGACACGACUGAGUGACUGA